AUGUGCCUACCAAAGGUCAGAGGAGGUAUGGGCUUUAGGGACCAACAUGCUUUUAAUCUUGCUAUGCUAGCUAAACAGAGUUGGCGAUUGUUGACACACCCUGAUUCCCUGUGUGCUAGAGUGUUGAGAGCUAAGUACUAUCCAGAUGGAAAUCUCCUAAAAGCAAGACCAAAAAAAGGAUCCUCAUACACAUGGCAGAGCAUGUUUGCGGAGCUCCAAACUUUCAAAGCAGGACCAAAAUUUUCAUAUAGGAUUUAUUCUUGCAAAUAA
rnacentral:rRNA from 1 species